GUUUGUGCACAGGGUGUUGCCCCUUUUGCUGCUGAAACCCUGAGACUGCCAUGUAAAGAAGCUUGAACUAGCCUACUAGAGGAUGAGACGCCACAUGGAGAAUGCCCCCAGCUAUUCCAGCUAAGGUCUCAGAGAUGUGAGUAAAGCCAUCCUGGGCCGUCUUGAGGGACCAUAUAGAGGGAGGCCUCAGCCAUCCACCCAUCCUUGUCAGCUGCCAGACAUGUGAGUGAGACCGUCUGAGAUCCAUCAGCCCCGGACCUAGAAUCGGCCAUUUCUCUGAGGAGUCCUGGGGAUGCACUGAAGCACACAAUCUGGGCUCCCAAACAGAUCCUGAGAUGACAUUGCUGACAGGCCACUCUGCUUAUUGAGAUGUAAUCUGGAGCCUGCAACGCCUUCUGCCGUCCUCAAACCCCUGGUUCUAGUCUUUGUUCUCAAGUCUGCUCACCGUGGUUCUCACUCAAGACGCAACCCUCUCCUGUGUUUGACCAUUUGAAUUCUUCAUGUUGAUUUCUUUGAAAACUGCCAGUUAAAACAAUGAGCGGAGUAGCUGAACAAUCGAAGCUGGUGGGAUGAGGAAGACCGGAUUUCCAGGACGAUGCCUCGCUCGUUGAGAAGAUAUGUUACCCAGCUUUCUCUUGCUCCUGAAGACCUGGAAUUUCCCCUCCUAGAGAAAUAUGAACAGCAUGUUUCAAAAUAUGCACUCUUUACCAUUUAAUGAAAAUGAUUCCAUCAAAAUGUUACAAAUUGAAUUAAAUUACUACCCAUUUUUCUUUUUAAACAUGCUUAAUAAUAAAUAAGUUUAUCCAAAGUGAUGUUAUCAUUAUAGAUUCAUUUUCACCCCAUUUCUUUAUAGCACCUUUGUCACAAUCUUCUCAUUAAUAGGCACUCAUGCUUUUCUACAUCGUUGCUAAAGAAAGAAAAAGAAAAAUAUGAAAAUACUGUCAUCAGCAUCUAACUGAAACUUCUCUGGGGAAAGGUAUUUUUAAAAAAGUAUAAUUAUAUUGCUUUUAAUGUCUAAUGAUAAUUCCUUUUAUUUACAGCCAGGCUGCCUCUGGGAAAUUAGUUAUGGAGACACCAAAAUGGCAAUAAAAUUCUGAUUUACUUUUACACAUUUUCAGCCAGUGCGCAACACUCCAAUGGGAUAAAAAAAAGUAUUGUAAAUAUUGUAAAAUGGAUAUUACCCAUUUUACAAGCAAGGAAUCGUAGGCUUAGAAGGGUUUAAGUAAGCUCACAUGCUCACAGCUAGUAAAUGAAAGGGUAUCAACCUGGAUGAUGCUAAUAUGCAUGCUUGUAACUUUUACUUUUUCUCUUCUAAGGAGAAUUCAUUCAAGACUUGGGAAUUACAGAAAUAGCCCACAGAGGAUAAUUCACAUCUGCUCCAAGAGUCAUUACUUCCAGAGCCUGGAGCCCCGAACUCAUCUUCAGGGAUCUUAACUGCUUCUCAGGAGACCCUUGCAAGUCAGGGAUCAACUGAAGCCACCCAUGGAGGAAUGAGUCUUCCUAAAAGUGGGAGUAAAGUCUUCCCCAGUGUGGUAUAGUUCCCAGGGUGCCUAAGUCCUACCUUAGCACCUCACCCAACACACACUGUGGUCUGACGCAAAUGGCCAGGACUGGACUGUUGCAGCUGAACCAGGCCAGGUUCCCAGUGGGGGCUGCUCGCUCUGUGUGUGAAGCCAUCACCCUGUGCAUAGCUCUCUACCAAGCCCAGGACAGUCUUUCUUCUAACCCGAUGUGAAGGAAACCUGCCUUGGCCAACACUCAUAAUCUCCAUGAGAAACACAUAGACAGCGCUAAUACUUUUUUCUGACAUAGGAUACUUUCAAUUUAGCUUUAGGAGAAAAGAAACUCUCUCCCGCCCUUCUGUUGCAUCCUCACUUUAUGGGACUAACCAGAACAUAGACAGCUUGCAUCAUCUGCCUUUGGGUGACUUCCCAGAUUUGAAUAUUGGCUCACAAGUCUUGACUAGCAGUGCCCAGCAGAGGGGACCUCCUAGAACAAAGGGUGACUUUGUUCCCAAGGCAAUCUCCACCCUAGACAGCAAACAUUUUGAAAUCCUGAAACUGACAGUUUCCAACUUCAAAAAAGGUUAACCUCUGCCUGCUCCCAGCGCCCUGUUCCAUAUGGAACACAGCCACACAGAUGCUUAGUGCCAGGCAAGGCAGAAUGGAAAAACCCCUAAGGCUGUGUCUGUCACGCACAAACCAUCUGAUAGAAAUGGAAAGUUGAUUCCAAAAAACUGGUGGUUUCAUGUUGGAGAUCACAAGUACCUGAGGUUCUGUGGAAUUUUCAGUUUUCAUCCAGGGUAGGGGAUGGGUGUUAGAGAGACCCAUGUGGAUGGCUUCUACUUUCCAGAAGUGGUCAGCAGUCCCAUGCAUGAAAGUGUUCCCCCUGACCUUCCAUGGCACUUUGUCUGAACUUCCAGGGUCACUGCCUACCUUCUACUUCAUCCUUAUUUUGGAUGAUAGUACAGCAUAGAGGAAAGAACCAGGCUUCAGGUCUCAGAGAUCGAGGAGGAAUCUCCAUUCUUAUAUGGGUUUUUUUUUGAGGAAGAUUAGCCCUGAACUAACAUCUGCUGCCAAUCCUCCUCUUUUUGCUGAGGAAGACUGACCCUGAGCUAG